GGACCUGGAUAGCUCAGUUGGUUAGAGUAUGGUGCUAAUAAUUCCAAGGUUGCAGGUUCAAUCCCCAUAUGGGCCA